rnacentral:rRNA from 1 species
GAUGAACGCUGGCGGCGUGCCUAAUACAUGCAAGUCGAGCGAACGGACGAGAAGCUUGCUUCUCUGAUGUUAGCGGCGGACGGGUGAGUAACACGUGGAUAACCUACCUAUAAGACUGGGAUAACUUCGGGAAACCGGAGCUAAUACCGGAUAAUAUUUUGAACCGCAUGGUUCAAAAGUGAAAGACGGUCUUGCUGUCACUUAUAGAUGGAUCCGCGCUGCAUUAGCUAGUUGGUAAGGUAACGGCUUACCAAGGCAACGAUGCAUAGCCGACCUGAGAGGGGGUGCGGCCACACUGGAACUGAGACACGGUCCAGACUCCUACGGGAGGCAGCAGUAGGGAAUCUUCCGCAAUGGGCGAAAGCCUGACGGAGCAACGCCGCGUGAGUGAUGAAGGUCUUCGGAUCGUAAAACUCUGUUAUUAGGGAAGAACAUAUGUGUAAGUAACUGUGCACAUCUUGACGGUACCUAAUCAGAAAGCCACGGCUAACUACGUG